UGACGGUACCCUUUCGAAUAAGAGGUUGCUAACUCUGUGCCAGCAGCAGCGGUAAUACAGAGACCUCGAGCGUUAUCCGGAUUUACUGGGCGUAAAGCGUCUGUAGGGGGUUUGUUAAGUUCCAAGUAAAAUCUUGAGGCUCAACUUUAAGUUCGCUUGGAAAACUAAUAAACUGGAGUCCAGCAGAGGUGCAUGGAACUUGCGGUGUAGGAGUGAAAUCCGUUGAUAUCGCAAGGAACACCAAAGGCGAAGGCAUUGCACUGGGCUGGUACUGACCCUGAGAGACGAAAGCGUGGGGAGCAAAACGGAUUAGAUACCCGUGUAGCCCACGCCGUAAACGAUGGAUACUAGAUGUUCGGGGAUUCGACCCCCUGGGUGUCACAGCUAACGCGUUAAGUAUCCCGCCUGGGAAGUACGGCCGCAAGGCUAAAACUCAAAGGAAUAGACGGGGAUCCGCACAAGCGGUGGAGCGUCUGGUUUAAUUUGAUAGUAAGCAAUGGACCUCACCAAGGUUUGACAUCCUAUGACAACCCUGGAAACAGGGCUCCCUUCGGGCAUAGUGACAGGUGCUGCAUGGUCGUCGUCAGUUCGUGCCGUGAGGUGUUCUGUUAAGUCGGGAAACGAACGAAACCCUCGUCGCAUGUUACAAAUUUCAUGCGAGACUGCCCGGGUCAACCGGGAGGAAGGCGGGGAUGACGUCAGAUCAGCAUGGCCCUUAUACCUUGGGCUACACAGGCGCUACAAUGGCCGGUACAAAGGGUUGCAAAACCGCGAGGUGAAGCUAAUCCCAUAAAGCCGGUCCAAGUUCGGAUUGGAGGCUGCAACUCGCCUCCAUGGAGUUGGAAUCGCUAGUAAUCGUGGAUCAGCCAUACCACGGUGAAUACGUUCCCGGAUCUUGUACUCACCGCCCGUCACACCAAGAGAGUUGGUAGCUCCUGAAGCGUCGCAUUAG
rnacentral:rRNA from 1 species